GAUGAACGCUGGCGGCGUGCCUAAUACAUGCAAGUCGAGCGAACGGACGAGAAGCUUGCUUCUCUGAUGUUAGCGGCGGACGGGUGAGUAACACGUGGAUAACCUACCUAUAAGACUGGGAUAACUUCGGGAAACCGGAGCUAAUACCGGAUAAUCUUUUGAACCGCAUGGUUCAAAAGUAAAAGACGGUCUUGCUGUCACUUAUAGAUGGAUCCGCGCUGCAUUAGCUAGUUGGUAAGGUAACGGCCUACGAAGGCAACGAUGCAUAGCCGACCUGAGAGGGUGAUCGGCCACACUGGAACUGAGACACGGUCCAGACUCCUACGAGAGGCAGCAGUAGGGAAUCUUCCGCAAUGGGCGAAAGCCUGACGGAGCAACGCCGCGUGAGUGAUGAAGGUCUUCGGAUCGUAAAACUCUGUUAUUAGGGAAGAACAUAUGUGUAAGUAACUGUGCACAUCGUGACGGUACCUAAUCAGAAAGCCACGGCUAACUACGUG
rnacentral:rRNA from 1 species